AUUGAACGCUGGCGGCAUGCCUUACACAUGCAAGUCGAACGGCAGCGGACCUUCGGGUGCCGGCGAGUGGCGAACGGGUGAGUAAUAUAUCGGAACGUACCUUUCAGUGGGGGAUAACGUAGCGAAAGUUACGCUAAUACCGCAUAUUCUGUGAGCAGGAAAGCAGGGGAUCGCAAGACCUUGCGCUGAUUGAGCGGCCGAUAUCAGAUUAGCUAGUUGGUGAGGUAAAGGCUCACCAAGGCGACGAUCUGUAGCGGGUCUGAGAGGAUGAUCCGCCACACUGGAACUGAGACACGGUCCAGACUCCUACGGGAGGCAGCAGUGGGGAAUUUUGGACAAUGGGCGCAAGCCUGAUCCAGCCAUGCCGCCGUGAGUGAAGAAGGCCGU
rnacentral:rRNA from 1 species